rnacentral:rRNA from 1 species
GGCAGCAGUGGGGAAUAUUGGACAAUGGGCGGAAGCCUGAUCCAGCAACGCCGCGUGAGGGAUGACUGCCUUCGGGUUGUAAACCUCUUUCAUCAUUGACGAAGCUCAGCGUUUAGUUGGGUGACGGUAGGUGGAGAAGAAGCACCGGCCAACUACGUGCCAGCAGCCGCGGUAAUACGUAGGGUGCGAGCGUUGUCCGGAAUUAUUGGGCGUAAAGGGCUCGUAGGCGGUUUGUCGCGUCGGGAGUGAAAACACUGGGCUUAACCGAGUGCUUGCUUUCGAUACGGGCAGACUAGAGGUAUGCAGGGGAGAACGGAAUUCCUGGUGUAGCGGUGAAAUGCGCAGAUAUCAGGAGGAACACCGGUGGCGAAGGCGGUUCUCUGGGCAUUACCUGACGCUGAGGAGCGAAAGUGUGGGGAGCGAACAGGAUUAGAUACCCUGGUAGUCCACACCGUAAACGUUGGGCGCUAGGUGUGGGGUCUAUUCCAUGGACUCCGUGCCGCAGCUAACGCAUUAAGCGCCCCGCCUGGGGAGUACGGCCGCAAGGCUAAAACUCAAAGGAAUUGACGGGGGCCCGCACAAGCGGCGGAGCAUGCGGAUUAAUUCGAUGCAACGCGAAGAACCUUACCUGGGUUUGACAUAUACCGGAAAGCCUUA